UCAAUUCAUUCUUGCAAGGCUUCCAUGACAAUGAGUAGCUAAAUCUCCUUUGUUGGGAUUAGAGGUACUUGAUCAUAGUUUAACAUGUAAUCGUUUGAUCUAUAAAUAUAUGGUUCUAGCAUUUGAAUUGA